rnacentral:rRNA from 1 species
UACGUAGGGUGCGAGCGUUGUCCGGAAUUAUUGGGCGUAAAGAGCUCGUAGGCGGUGUGUCGCGUCGGCCGUGAAAACCUGGGGCUUAACUCUGGGCGUGCGGUCGAUACGGGCAUCACUAGAGUUCGGCAGGGGAGACUGGAAUUCCUGGAGUAGCGGUGAAAUGCGCAGAUAUCAGGAGGAACACCGGUGGCGAAGGCGGGUCUCUGGGCCGAUACUGACGCUGAGGAGCGAAAGCAUGGGUAGCGAACAGG